rnacentral:rRNA from 1 species
GACGAACGCUGGCGGCGUGCUUAACACAUGCAAGUCGAACGGAAAGGCCCUGCUUUUGUGGGGUGCUCGAGUGGCGAACGGGUGAGUAACACGUGAGUAACCUGCCCUUGACUUUGGGAUAACUUCAGGAAACUGGGGCUAAUACCGGAUAGGAGCUCCUGCUGCAUGGUGGGGGUUGGAAAGUUUCGGCGGUUGGGGAUGGACUCGCGGCUUACCAGCUUGUUGGUGGGGUAGUGGCUUACCAAGGCUUUGACGGGUAGCCGGCCUGAGAGGGUGACCGGCCACAUUGGGACUGAGAUACGGCCCAGACUCCUACGGGAGGCAGCAGGGGGGAAUAUUGAACAAUGGGCGGAAGCCUGAUGAAGCAACGCCGCGUGCGGGAUGACGGCCUUCGGGUUGUAAACCGCUUUCGCCUGUGACGAAGCGUGAGUGACGGUAAUGGGUAAAGAAGCACCGGCUAACUACGUG